UUUUUUUUUUCUGGUUUGAAACUCCUCCAGCGACAGGAGGUUCUGGUCCUACAUAUUCAUACUGGAGGUACACUGGUUUUACGCGGACGUAUGCAAUCCCCAGACGUAUUUAUGAUAGCCCCACCUUUUACUCAUUCAUUUUCUGAAUCGAGUUAAAGAUGCCUUUAAGUCUGAUCUCUUGUGCUUCAUUUACAAGUCGCCUUUUUCAAGAUGCAUCUUCUUAGCAUGAGAUUGAAUAUUAAUGAAAAUUGAUUCGAUCGAUUUGAUUUUUAUUUUUCCUCCGACGAAAUUUGUGCAAAAAGGAUAUUUCGGGACAUGUAAAACAUUUUAAUAGGAUGCAACCAUUCUUGAUGCCCUUUUCACAAAGCCUCUUACAAUUCUUUUCUUAAAAGAUAAUGAUUGAAAUUUUCUGCAAUAAAUUUGAAUAGAAUAAAUUUGAACUUGCUUUCAAGACAAUCCCCGGCGACCCAACAAAAUAUGUUCUAUUAUCAAAUGAAAAGUUCGAUCGAUUGGUAUGACAACGAGUUCGAUUGGUUUCAUUUUCUAGCCGAAGAUGUCAAUCCGGACGGAUAUAUCAUAAUGAAAUUAUUGGUACCGGUCUGUUUGACAGACAGCUUGUCUUUCAAUAACCUACCAUUGCCGCCGCCACGAGAGUAUAUUAACGCAAGAGAGGGAACCGACUUUAAUAUCAAAAAACUGGAAGAGAAAUACUAGAAGAAAAGAGAAAGAAUGGAAGUCGUGACGUUUAAAGUGGCAGCUAAAAAAGUGCACACACACUAUAUGCAAUAUAUUCCGUGCAUACUGUAUUCUAUAUCAUCCUCUUGAUGAAACGGUCAGCACUGUAAACAAGCUUAUCGCUGUAUCUCUUACACAUUUCGUUAAUUUGGAUUAUGUGUGGAAUAUGAUCUAUGAACUUUGAGGAGCGUACUAGUUACCCGCAAGAACUUAUGCAGUUGGCAAGCAAGCGGGAUGAAAUCUGCAAUUGAAUUAAUUUUAGAUCGCGGAAACUGCGGUGCACGAACAAUUAAUACACGCUUCGACGAUAAUAGAAAAUGGAGUACAUGAACCAUUUGCAUCAAAGGACUCAACAAAGGACUUAUUUGAGCAGUUUUUAAGUUAUUUAGCAAAGUAAACGCAACGAUGUGAUUGUCAUGUGAGAUCCUACAACAAAAUGUUUCAGAGGCUUUGGUUUUGUAACUUGCAAAAAUGCAACUACGAUUGAUAAAGCAUAAGCGGCUAGUGGAUGGAAGGUGUUAUAUCUCGCUCUGAAGUAAGCGAUGAUCCCACAGUAAACAAAAUUUUCGUUGGAGGUCUUAGGGAAUAUCACGGAAGAAUAUUUCCAGCCAGUUGGCAAAGUUGUUAGCGUAAAUGUUUUGUCAGACAAAACUAGAGAGUUUUGAUGAUUAUGACGCACUUGAUAAGGCGAUCUAUGUAAGUACUUUGUGUUCAAUUACAAAUUAUGCUAUAUAUAUUUAUGACGACAUGGACUGCAUAAAGACUUUUUUCACGGUUAUAGAAGGUGAUAUUUAUAGUGUUCUUUGAACAUUACCUCUCGCCUAAGUAAGUGUAAAAUUUGUUUUAACUCUUAUUAAAUGCUUGAAUUUUUAUUAAAAAAAAGAAAAAAAAAAUAUUGAAAUCAA